GAUUUGGUGACAGUUUACCACUUAGUUUGUGACAAACGCUCCUAACCUUGAAGAGGUUUGCCACACAACAUUAGUGUUUAACCAUGUUUUGAGGCUAUACACUGUUUACAUUUUACAAUGUUUACAAACAUUGGAGUAAAACAGGCUUCUAUUUUGGGUUCUGAUGGGGUACAACAGUUUAACUAAGCUCAGUAAGCAAGUCCAAAAAUGUAUGUAGCUACAGAUUGCACCUUUAAAUGAUUAUUACUGGUGGUUUUGGAUAGUUGUUGUGUGGCAUUCAGCUCCGGUGUCGUUCUCUGUUUGUAAAAUGGAAUACCUGAACACACUGAUGUCCCAGCAGUACAAACACAGCUGGGUGUCCCCCUCUCCCUUCCAUUUUGAUUGGCAGAAAUCAUGAGACGCCCCCUGAUAUUGACCUACAGGAGGAAAGCAGGAAGGUAUCAUGUGGGUUUAGGUUUCAGUUGGGGGAAUGAACAGAGUGCCUGUUUAGCUACACAACAAGGAAAGCAGUGUCAUCAGUAUAGACAUUCCCAUACCAAGAUGGCUGAUGUGAAGACGGAGCACUCAGACAGUAAAUGCAGCAUAGACGUCACAUAGGCUUUCUUUUAACUGUUAAUAUUAGGUUAUGUAGUGUGUAGCUUUGACACCUCAGGGGACUACAAAAGUUAAAAGAAAGUUCAACUCCAAAUCCCACUAAUCCAGGUGCUGUACAGUAAAACCAUAGGGGGGUGUAUUCAGGGGUUUAUCAGAUUAUGCUGUUCAAUGACUACUAGGUCUACCACGACUACUAGGUCUACCAUGACUACCACGACUACGAGGUCUACUAGGUCUACCCCGACUACUAGAUCUACCACGACUACUUGGUUUACCACGACUACUUGGUUUACCACGACUACUUGGUUUACCACGACUACUAGGUUUACCACGACUACUAGGUUUACCACGACUACUAGGUUUACCACGACUACUAGGUCUACCACGACUACUAGGUCUACCACGACUACUAGGUCUACCACGACUACUAGGUCUACCCCGACUACUAGAUCUACUAGGUUUACCACGACUACUAGGUCUACCACGACUACUAGGUCUACCACGACUACUAGGUCUACCCCGACUACUAGAUCUACUAGGUCUACCACGUCUACUAGGUCUACCACGACUACUAGGUCUACCACGACUACUAGGUCUACCACGUCUACCACGACUACUAGGUCUACUAGGUCUACCCCGACUACUAGGUCUACCACGACUACUAGGUCUACCACGUCUACCUGACACUACUAGGUCUACCCCGACUACUAGGUCUAUCCCGACGUCCUAGGUCUACCACGUCUACCCUGACUACUAGGUCUACCAUGUCUACCCUGACUACUAGGUCUACCACGUCUACCCUGA